GCCGCAUUCUUCUGUCUUCAAUUGCUUCAUCUUCAUUCUUCAUAGACCUUACUAGUUACUCCUAGUUGUCUUUUUUCAGGUUAGGCAUUUGACAAACAAUAUCCAGUUUAUCUUGGACAGUUUGGGGUUCUGUAAGUGUUGAGGAAGACUUUGAUGUUCUCGAGGAACUAGAACAAGAUUUUGCCAAACUUGGAAAAGAACCUUGCGAUGAUGCUGUAUAGAAUCUUAGAUAGUUAUGAGUUAAAAAUUUGGUGUAAUCAUGCCUCGACUUCGUGGUCACAAAACUACCUCACUUGUUUGGAGUUACUAUGAAAGGAUUGAAGAAGGUGAUGAUGGAUGGUGGAAAGUAAGAUGUAGUCAUUGUCAUCUUGUUUUUAUUACAAUGCACAACAAAGUGGUACUAAGUCCUUAAUGGGGCAUGUUAGGAGUUGUUUGGAGCGCAAUUUGGUGAAGCCUAUGAGAAUUGAGUAGUUGUUGUCUUGUUAACUUGAAUUUGAACUGUUAGUACUAUAUGUUUGGACUUAUUAAUUUAAAGGUAAAAUUGCUACUACUUUGUAUUAUUGUUAAAAUGUAUUUGGACAAUUGUUGUUGAAGAAUUAGUACUAUUCCAGUUUUGGC